ACCCGAAACCCGGUGAUCUAGCCAUGGGCAGGUUGAAGGUUGGGUAACACUAACUGGAGGACCGAACCGACUAAUGUUGAAAAAUUAGCGGAUGACUUGUGGCUGGGGGUGAAAGGCCAAUCAAACCGGGAGAUAGCUGGUUCUCCCCGAAAGCUAUUUAGGUAGCGCCUCGUGAAUUCAUCUCCGGGGGUAGAGCACUGUUUCGGCAAGGGGGUCAUCCCGACUUACCAACCCGAUGCAAACUGCGAAUACCGGAGAAUGUUAUCACGGGAGACACACGGCGGGUGCUAACGUCCGUCGUGAAGAGGGAAACAACCCAGACCGCCAGCUAAGGUCCCAAAGUCAUGGUUAAGUGGGAAACGAUGUGGGAAGGCCCAGACAGCCAGGAUGUUGGCUUAGAAGCAGCCAUCAUUUAAAGAAAGCGUAAUAGCUCACUGGUCGAGUCGGCCUGCGCGGAAGAUGUAACGGGGCUAAACCAUGCACCGAAGCUGCGGCAGCGACGCUGAUGCGUUGUUGGGUAGGGGAGCGUUCUGUAAGCCUGUGAAGGUGUGCUGUGAGGCAUGCUGGAGGUAUCAGAAGUGCGAAUGCUGACAUAAGUAACGAUAAAGCGGGUGAAAAGCCCGCUCGCCGGAAGACCAAGGGUUCCUGUCCAACGUUAAUCGGGGCAGGGUGAGUCGACCCCUAAGGCGAGGCCGAAAGGCGUAGUCGAUGGGAAACAGGUUAAUAUUCCUGUACUUGGUGUUACUGCGAAGGGGGGACGGAGAAGGCUAUGUUGGCCGGGCGACGGUUGUCCCGGUUUAAGCGUGUAGGCUGGUUUUCCAGGCAAAUCCGGAAAAUCAAGGCUGAGGCGUGAUGACGAGGCACUACGGUGCUGAAGCAACAAAUGCCCUGCUUCCAGGAAAAGCCUCUAAGCAUCAGGUAACAUCAAAUCGUACCCCAAACCGACACAGGUGGUCAGGUAGAGAAUACCAAGGCGCUUGAGAGAACUCGGGUGAAGGAACUAGGCAAAAUGGUGCCGUAACUUCGGGAGAAGGCACGCUGAUAUGUAGGUGAAGUCCCUCGCGGAUGGAGCUGAAAUCAGUCGAAGAUACCAGCUGGCUGCAACUGUUUAUUAAAAACACAGCACUGUGCAAACACGAAAGUGGACGUAUACGGUGUGACGCCUGCCCGGUGCCGGAAGGUUAAUUGAUGGGGUCAGCGCAAGCGAAGCUCUUGAUCGAAGCCCCGGUAAACGGCGGCCGUAACUAUAACGGUCCUAAGGUAGCGAAAUUCCUUGUCGGGUAAGUUCCGACCUGCACGAAUGGCGUAAUGAUGGCCAGGCUGUCUCCACCCGAGACUCAGUGAAAUUGAACUCGCUGUGAAGAUGCAGUGUACCCGCGGCAAGACGGAAAGACCCCGUGAACCUUUACUAUAGCUUGACACUGAACAUUGAGCCUUGAUGUGUAGGAUAGGUGGGAGGCUUAGAAGUGUGGACGCCAGUCUGCAUGGAGCCGACCUUGAAAUACCACCCUUUAAUGUUUGAUGUUCUAACGUUGACCCGUAAUCCGGGUUGCGGACAGUGUCUGGUGGGUAGUUUGACUGGGGCGGUCUCCUCCUAAAGAGUAACGGAGGAGCACGAAGGUUGGCUAAUCCUGGUCGGACAUCAGGAGGUUAGUGCAAUGGCAUAAGCCAGCUUGACUGCGAGCGUGACGGCGCGAGCAGGUGCGAAAGCAGGUCAUAGUGAUCCGGUGGUUCUGAAUGGAAGGGCCAUCGCUCAACGGAUAAAAGGUACUCCGGGGAUAACAGGCUGAUACCGCCCAAGAGUUCAUAUCGACGGCGGUGUUUGGCACCUCGAUGUCGGCUCAUCACAUCCUGGGGCUGAAGUAGGUCCCAAGGGUAUGGCUGUUCGCCAUUUAAAGUGGUACGCGAGCUGGGUUUAGAACGUCGUGAGACAGUUCGGUCCCUAUCUGCCGUGGGCGCUGGAGAACUGAGGGGGGCUGCUCCUAGUACGAGAGGACCGGAGUGGACGCAUCACUGGUGUUCGGGUUGUCAUGCCAAUGGCACUGCCCGGUAGCUAAAUGCGGAAGAGAUAAGUGCUGAAAGCAUCUAAGCACGAAACUUGCC
rnacentral:rRNA from 1 species